AUCUACUCUUUCCCUGUCCCCCAGCAAAAUUCAGAUCUAGCAGUCCAGAUGUCCAGUGUGGUGGUGUUGGAGACUGGACUUUUGGGAGGUGAUUGUGUUAACAUGAGCUCUUGAGCAUGGAAUCCUCAUGAUGGGGUUUUGUCCUUGGCAGAAGAAACACCGGGGGACUGUCUCUGCACUGAAGACACAGUGAAGAGGAACCCAUCUGUAACCCAAGCACCGUGUGCCCUCGCCAGAACCCAGCCGUGCUUGCGUUCUCUCUUGGCCUUCCAACCUCCCAGAUGCUAAGGAGGUGUCACCCUGUGACUUCACCUCUGCCAGAACAGGCGCGGCCCUGGCUUCCGGUGCGCAGGCAUUUGCUGGCAGAGCUCUCCUCCUUGUUUUCCCCUGGAGUUUCAGUUCUGUAAGGACCUGAUCCAGCUCCCGUGUGCUUCCCUGCCCUCGUUGCAUGUAUUCUCCUUGAGCCUCAAGCCAUAACAGGGAAGACUGGAGUGUUUUCAAACUUGCUUGUUGAUUUCUCUUGCCAACUCAUCUUUGUGGCCCGCAUUUUAAUAAAUUGUUAACAGUUUUUAUC